rnacentral:rRNA from 1 species
UUUCCGGUUGAUCCUGCCGGACCCUACUGCUAUCGGGGUGGGACUAAGACAUGCGAGUUGUGCGUCUCUAAGCUAUGGUAGAGACGCGGCAUACGGCUCAGUAACACGUGGCUAACCUACCCUUAGGACGGGGACAACCCCGGGAAACUGGGGCUAAUACCCGAUAGGUGAGGAGGCCUGGAAUGGUUCCUAGUCGAAAAGACGUUGAAACCAUGCUUUUCGACGUCGCCUAAGGAUGGGGCCGCGCCCGAUCAGGUUGUUGGUGGGGUAACGGCUCACCAAGCCUAUAACCGGUACGGGCCGUGAGAGCGGGAGCCGGGAGAUGGGCACUGAGACAAGGGCCCAGGCCCUACGGGGCGCAGCAGUCGCGAAAACUCCGCAAUGCGCGAAAGCGUGACGGGGCUACCCCGAGUGCCGUCCGCUGAGGAUGGCUUUUCCCCGGUGUAAUGAGCCGGGGGAAUAAGGAGAGGGCAAGUCUGGUGUCAGCCGCCGCGGUAAUACCAGCUCUCCGAGUGGUAGGGACGAUUAUUGGGCUUAAAGCGUCCGUAGCCGGCUUAGCAAGUCUCCUGUUAAAUUCAGCGACCUAAUCGUUGAGCCGCGGGGGAUACUACUAGGCUAGGAGGCGGGAGAGGCCGACGGUAUUCUCGGGGUAGGGGUGAAAUCCUAUAAUCCCGGGAGGACCACCAGUGGCGAAGGCUGUCGGCUAGAACGCGCUCGACGGUGAGGGACGAAAGCUGGGGGAGCGAACCGGAUUAGAUACCCGGGUAGUCCCAGCUGUAAACGAUGCGGGCUAGGUGUUGGGGUGGCUACGAGCCACUUCAGUGCCGCAGGGAAGCCAUUAAGCCCGCCGCCUGGGGAGUACGGCCGCAAGGCUGAAACUUAAAGGAAUUGGCGGGGGAGCACCACAAGGCGUGAAGCUUGCGGUUCAAUUGGAUUCAACGCCGGGAA